AUUGAACGCUGGCGGCAUGCCUUACACAUGCAAGUCGAACGGCAGCGGGGGAGAAGCUUGCUUUUCCUGCCGGCGAGUGGCGAACGGGUGAGUAAUACAUCGGAACGUGCCCUGUAGUGGGGGAUAACUAGUCGAAAGAUUAGCUAAUACCGCAUACGACCUGAGGGUGAAAGUGGGGGACCGCAAGGCCUCAUGCUAUAGGAGCGGCCGAUGUCUGAUUAGCUAGUUGGUGGGGUAAAGGCCUACCAAGGCGACGAUCAGUAGCUGGUCUGAGAGGACGAUCAGCCAGACUGGGCCUGAGACACGGCCCAGACUCCUACGGGAGGCAGCAGUGGGGAAUUUUGGACAAUGGGCGAAAGCCUGAUCCAGCAAUGCCGCGUGUGUGAAGAAGGCCUUCGGGUUGUAAAGCACUUUUGUCCGGAAAGAAAUGGCUCUGGUUAAUACCUGGGGUCGAUGACGGUACCGGAAGAAUAAGGACCGGCUAACUACGUGCCAGCCGCCGCUGUAA
rnacentral:rRNA from 1 species